ACUGGCCUACUAGUGCGCUCUUCCCCUCACUACUGACCCUUUAGAAUCCCUUCGAAGCAGUUAAACCGUCACUUGCAUUCUAGAAUGUGAAAUAUAUAGUACAUUGUCAACUCCCCAAAACCAUAAAACUAACUUUAUGGACCCCACGUGACUUUUGAGAGCCAGUAAGGGGUAUCUGUCUGUGGCCUGGCCAAUUUUUACGAUCUAACUUCAAGAUAAAACGCUCAUCCGUUUGACAUGUAAAUGUCAUAGCUACUUUUGGUAUAGUUUGGUCAAAGGCAAAAGCUAAAUUGCAAAAGGCAAGUCGGCCAGGCAGUGCGGGCAGCUGGUGCAAUUUUAGGACCUCUACUCGGCUCUCAAAAGUCGCCUUAGAGGUGGCAAAACGGUUGGGCACUCGUGAUAUCAUUUUAAUUCAACCAAGAAGGCAACGGAGCUGACAUCACCUCAUCAUACAAACUAUGAUGCACAGCGGCAGUGGUAGAAGGAGCCCUGAAAUAAGCCGUUUCAGAGCUACAAAUCACGUCUCUUCUGCGGACAGAGGAAAUACUUCAAAUGUGACCUGAUAAGGAAGAGAAGUUUCCAUUUUUUCACACCAACAAGCCGACAAGCCGACAAGGAGCUACACUCGCUGUCAUUCAGUUUCUAUGAAGUCUGUCGUAACUGCCCACUAAUUUGCAUUGUCUAUAUUGUGAGUAAUUUGUGCCUUCAUGACUUUUUAUGACAGAUUUUCUGGAAAUUUCUUUUUCUGCUGUUUUACUUUCUUGCAUCUGUUUUAGUUGCUUUUUAACUUCAAUUGUUCAGUUAACAUUACAAAAAGUGCUUUAUGCUAUACAUUUUUCUAUUCUUGUCACUGAUACGUAUUCCUGUUAGCACUGGGUGCCUUAUUUUAUUACUGAAAUAUUCAGUAGCCAUGAGAGUGUCCUGGGGGGGGGGGGGGGGUCACAAACUAAAUCUACUGUUUAACUGCAAUGCGGUCAUGAAUGCUUGAAAUUCAUGCAACAUUAAAAUUGUUCAAAUAACAUAUCCAUGCGCUCUGCACGCACUGACUGUUCUGCGACUUGAAGAACAUGCUUGAGAAUUUGUACUUCUCCUUUACGUGUGUAUCUUUAAGAUCGUCUUUACAAAAUUGGUUUUAUGUUUGAUUGCUUAAACAGUAAAGAAUAGUCCCACGCUCUGUUGCGUACCUCUGUAUUUAAUAAUAUUUCAGUUAGCUUCUAAGGCUAUUAUCCGUAAAGUGGAUAAUGUAAUGUAUAUAGUCGGUACUACAAGAAAUGACAGUGUUGAGUGACUUUUGUGCGCUGUAUAAUUAUAUAUAUUUGGAAAUGUUUUUGGGAAUGUGUUGUUAAAUUCUGAAAGAAACUCAACAGGUAAAUUUUAACAAUGUACUCAUGAAGGUGAGAAAAGGAGUGUGCUCUAUUACAAAAUUAGGAAAUUAAUGAAAAGCUUCUACGUGCGCUUCCGAGGCACGGAGUUUCUGGAGUGCGUAAGAUUAAUAGCUCUUAAAAUUUAUGAUGGACCAAACUACUGCUUCCUUUUAGAAACCAGUAAUUCAACCACGGUUGUUUGAAAAACUCGCUUCUCACAUGUCUCACAUUGUAUUACUUACAAAAUAAAUGUAUUAAACGUUUGAGUUAGAUGUA